rnacentral:misc_RNA from 1 species
CACCUUCCAGCCGAGCUGGGUAUUGGGUAGUCCGCAUUAGUGGGCACCUCAAACUUAGGUGGAAGAAGCAGCCGAAAUCUUUAGCGCAGUGACUCUUAUAAUCUCGCUCUAGGUCGGUUGGUGCUUUCCCAAAAUCUCUCGCUCCUAUGCCUAGGAUUAAGAGAUAUUUUCCAAA